GGUUGAUUAAUGGCAGCCAUCACAACUGAGACUGGGGGAUAAUGAGGAGGACAAGAGGGAGGAACAGAGGAGGAGACGGGGAAAAGGAGGAGGGCCGAGGGCAGGAGGAGAGGUAGAGGAUGCAGAGGAUUGGACUAAAUGAAGACAGAUGGUUUGCUGUGGUGACCCUGAAGGGAAAAGCCAAAAAUAGGAGAGCUCAGGUCCACGCCUGCGUGUCCACACGGAUUGGUGUCUGCAUGCCCGUGCGUGUGUGGAAGCUCCAGGAUUUGGUGAUAAAGAGAACCACAUAAUUCGUCAACAUCGCCUCGCCUGACACAAUCCCAUCAGCUCACCUUUAUGCUUUUUUUCCCCAAUAUUGCUCAGCUGAAGCGGAUUCAGUGAUGAAAUGUACGCCGACUGUUCAGGGAAGAAAAUAAAUUAAACAGCAGCA